ensembl:lncRNA
ACCGAAUUAGCCGGAUCCUGAUUAGCGCGAUGAUAUCAUCUUGGAUGUGACAUUUCUUCUCGGAUAAAAUAAGCGACAUACGAAGAACGGGCCUCUGAUAUCGUGUGAUAUAACGUUAAUUAUGUUUUAUUUGUUAAUCUUUGUUGCCAUCAUGGAUUAUGGCUUGUUUUCUUUAAUUUAUGGCUCGAGACUGAAGAAAACACGACAACGUCACCGGAACACAGGAAAUACCAUCUUCUUAACCAGGUUUUUGAUCUAUAUGUCCAUACAUGACCUCUCGUAUAAAGGCCAGUGCUGUGAAGAUACGUUGGGACCAGAUCCAAAGCGUUUGAGAACCAGUGGGAAGUCCUUCACAUCAUAAAUACGCCCCUGGGAAACACGACUUUGAGGAACUGAAACGUGCUUUCGAGGUAACGCGUAAUUUACACACCAAACAUUCCCAGAGGCAGAUGCCUGUCUGACUGACUGGGGCAAAUUGUGGACAUAAUGGCUGCAGGCUUGCUUCCCCCCCCCCGUUUGAAACCAGAAUUUGAACUGCAUAAAUGGGACAAAUCUGCCCGGUUCUCCUCCUGGACCCCAUCUCGGUAAGUUUGGGGGAAGUUUCUGUGAUCAAAAGCAUUGUAAAAUGGUUCCAGGGCAGGAUAUUUCCUCGGUGUGUUUCUCAAGUUUAGAUGGACAAGGAGGAAGAAAGGUUUCCCUUCCUUUUUUUUCUUCCAGCUUUUGAGGGGAGACCACAGAGUAGUUUUUUUUUUUUUUUGGGGGGGUAACGCUACAUUCCACAGCAGUCAUGAUAGUUGGGGUGGUCUUGUGUGUGUGUGUAUAUAUGUUUGCAUGUCUUUCUUGUCUCUCCUUAACAGGCCCAAUGAAAUGUUUUCAGUGAAAAGUUC